rnacentral:rRNA from 1 species
CCCUACGGGGGGCAGCAGUAGGGAAUCUUCGACAAUGGGCGAAAGCCUGAUGGAGCAACGCCGCGUGGGUGAAGAAGGUCUUCGGAUCGUAAAACCCUGUUGUUAGAGAAGAAAGUGCGUGAGAGUAACUGUUCACGUUUCGACGGUAUCUAACCAGAAAGCCACGGCUAACUACGUGCCAGCAGCCGCGGUAAUACGUAGGUGGCAAGCGUUAUCCGGAUUUAUUGGGCGUAAAGGGAACGCAGGCGGUCUUUUAAGUCUGAUGUGAAAGCCUUCGGCUUAACCGGCGUAGUGCAUUGGAAACU